AGGAGUGCCUUGAGGAGAAGUACUAUAAGCGCGGGGUGACGGUAGGGAGUUCCUGUCCCACUAAAAAUGGCUUUUCUGAAACAGAAACACGGACUGAGCUGUAAAAGGAUCAAAAAUACCCCUGUCCUCUGCUGUUCUGAAGCAUAUUUGCUUUUAGUGUUCACAUGCAACGAGAGGGUUUCUCAGCUGGCUUUGUUACAUUAAGCCUGGUGACAUACCCUGGGUCCCUCCCUAGCAGAAAAGAAAGAGUUUGAAAGAAAACACUGAUUCCUAAGGGCAGCUCGUUCCAAGGUUAGUUCCUGCACAGAAACAAAGCCUAUGAAAACACCAGUUGCGAGUCAUUCCCUAAGUUCUGGUUUCCCUACUGAAUGAUCUUAGAGCUGGAGGAAGGUCAGGCCCAAGUUACUUUCUCGCUGAUGUAAGUUCACACACUUUGCUGAUGUUCUUCCAACCGAGAAGUAGCAAGGUGCCACAGCUAAUGAAAGUCACAAGGCAGAAAACCACUGUGUCAUUGGAAUGGAAGGAAAGAUGCCUCUGCAGUUACAUCCUCAGCAGCAAAAAAGACAAGUGUUGUGACAAGAGGAAGUGCAAAUAAUUAAAUAGCAAAAGAUCAAAUGAAA